AAAGUCGUAACAAGGUUUCCGUAGGUGAACCUGCGGAAGGAUCAUUACUAAACGAGGGUGAGGGCGCGAGGUGCUGAAGCGCAAGCGGAAGCACCGAGCGUUCCUGAGCCCGUGUGGCUGCGCAAGCAGUCACAACUAGCCCACUCCCGCAAGGGAGUUGGACCUGGAGUAUGUGUGGUGGAGCGGUGUGGUUGAGUGAAGCGAAAGCAGCACUUGGCCAUUCUGCUCUGCUGCUCUGCUUCAAAAUACUCUUUACUUUUCGUCAUUACAACCAAAAUACAAACUAAUAUAACUUUCAACAAUGGAUCUCUGGGCUCCU
rnacentral:misc_RNA from 1 species